rnacentral:rRNA from 1 species
AACGUAGGACGCAAGCGUUAUCCGGAGUCACUGGGCGUAAAGCGCGGGCAGGCGGUCUUGCCAGUCUGAUGUGAAAUCUCCUCGCUCAACGGGGAGCAGCCAUUGGAAACUACAAGACUGGAGUCUGACAGAGGUAGGCGGAAUUCCGGGUGGAGUGGUGAAAUGCGUAGAGAUCCGGAGGAACACCAGAGGCGAAGGCGGCCUACUGGGUCAGUACUGACGCUGAGCCGCGAAAGCCAGGGGAGCGAACGGG